rnacentral:rRNA from 1 species
GACGAACGCUGGCGGCGUGCUUAACACAUGCAAGUCGAACGGUGAAGCGCCUUCCUUUUUGGUGGGUGUGGAUGAGUGGCGAACGGGUGAGUAACACGUGAGUAACCUGCCCCCUUCUUCUGGAUAACCACAUGAAAGUGUGGCUAAUACGGGAUAUUCUGGGUCUGUCGCAUGAUGGGUCUGGGAAAGAUAUUGUUUCGGUGGGGGAUGGGCUCGCGGCCUAUCAGCUUGUUGGUGGGGUGAUGGCCUACCAAGGCGGUGACGGGUAGCCGGCCUGAGAGGGUGGACGGUCACACUGGGACUGAGACACGGCCCAGACUCCGACGGGAGGCAGCAGUGGGGAAUAUUGCACAAUGGGCGCAAGCCUGAUGCAGCGACGCCGCGUGAGGGAUGGAGGCCUGCGGGUUGUGAACCUCUUUCGCCAGUGAAGCAGGCCUGCCUCGUUUGUGGGUGGGUUGACGGUAGCUGGAUAAGAAGCGCCGGCUAACUACGUG